rnacentral:rRNA from 1 species
AUCAACGCUAGCGGCGCGCUUAACACAUGCAAGUCGCACGAGAAAAGUGGAGCCAAUCCAUGAGUACCGUGGCGUACGGGUGAGUAACACGUGAAUCAUCUACCCUUCUAGUGGGGAAUACCUCCGGGAAACUGGAGACAAUACCGCAUAAGCUCGUAAGAGGAAAGCAAGCAAUGCGCUGGAAGAGGAGUCCGCGGCUGAUUAGCUAGUUGGCGGGGUAACGGCCCACCAAGGCGAAGAUCGGUAGCCGGCCUGAGAGGGCACACGGCACACUGGCACUGAACACGGGCCAGACUCCUACGGGAGGCAGCAGUGGGGAAUCUUGCACAAUGGAGGAAACUCUGAUGCAGCGACGCCGCGUGAGCGAUGAAGCCCUUCGGGUGUAGUAAAGCUCUUUCGACGGGAACGAUGAUGACGGUACCCCGAAGAAGAAGCUGCGGCUAACUACGUGCCAGCAGCCCGUCGGUAAGUACGUAGGGGGCGAAGCGUUGUUCGGAAUUACUUGGGCGUAAAGGAGGUGCGUAGGCGGUUCGGUAAGUCUUGUGUGAAAUCUCUCGGGCUAACUGGCGAGGUGCGGCCGAGAAACUGCCGGGCUGCUAGAGGUGGGAGAGGUAAGCGGAAUUCCUGGUGUAGCGGUGAAAUGCGUAGAUAUCGGAAGGAACACCUGUGGCUAAAGCGCUCACUGGACCACUACUGACGCUGAGGCACGAAAGCUAGGGGAGCAAACAGGAUUAGAUACCCUGGUAUCCUAGCCCUAAACGAUGAUCGCUUGGUGUGACGGGUACACCCAUCCCGCCGUGCCGAAGCUAAACGCGUUAAGCGAUCCGCCUGGGAGUACGGUCGCAAGGGCUGAAACUCAAAGGAAUUGACGGGGGGCCCGCACAAGCGGUGGAGCAUGUGGUUUAAUUCGACGCAACGCGAAGAACCUUACCUGGCUCGAAAUGUAGUGGACCGCGGUAGAAAAUAUCGCUUCCCAGCAAUGGGCUGCUAAUAGGUGCUGCAUGGCUGUCGUCAGCUCGUGUCGUGAGAUGUUGGGUUAAGUCCCGCAACGAGCGCAACCCUUAUUACCAGUUGCCAUCAUUUAGUUGGCACUCUGGUGAGACCGCCUCGGAUAACGCGGGAGGAAGGCGGGGAUGACGUCAAGUCCUCAUGGCCUUUAUGUCCAGGGCUACACACGUGCUACAAUGGCCGGUACAAACCGUCGCAAACCCGUGAGGGGGAGCUAAUCGGAAAAAGCCGGCCUCAGUUCGGAUUGGAGUCUGCAACUCGACUCCACGAAGCUGGAAUCGCUAGUAAUCGCAGAUCAGAACGCUGCGGUGAAUACGUUCCCGGGCCUUGUACACCACCGCCCGUCACAUCACGAAAGUGGGUUGCACUGAAGCAGGUGAGCCAACCGCAAGGAGGCAGCCUUCCAAGGUGUAAUUCAUGGUGGGUGAA